UCUUUAGUGGCGGACGGGUGAGUAACGCGUGGGUAACCUGCCUUGCACUGGGGGAUAACACUUAGAAAUAGGUGCUAAUACCGCAUAAGCGCACAGGACUGCAUGGUCCGGUGUGAAAAAUUCCGGUGGUGCAAGAUGGGCCCGCGUCUGAUUAGCUAGUUGGUGGGGUAAAGGCCCACCAAGGCGACGAUCAGUAGCCGGCCCGAGAGGGUGGACGGCCACAUUGGGACUGAGACACGGCCCAAACUCCUACGGGAGGCAGCAG
rnacentral:rRNA from 1 species